CAUACCCCAGUCUAGUUGGUGGCGGUAAUGCAAUAUUUAUUAGAUGCCAACUGCCGUGAAACCUCAUCGAAGAAGAAUCAGGAUGGACGUGGCUAUGAGAUGUGUGCAAAGGCCAGACAAAAGAGAUGUGAAAGAAAUGUUGUUCACAAGAUAACAAUGUUGACAGAGGAGAGAGGGUAAAUUGUCCAUGCAAUUCUGUAGCUAGCUAGCUAGCUAACGUUUGCUAGCACCUCUGUCACAGACAGGAGGACUAACCCAGACACGUCACAGGGGCUAUAAAGCUGAAGCAUCCAUUUAGAACGUUUUCUCACCACCAAAUAUGGUAGUGAGAGGAAGUCCAGUUGUGGGUAGUGGGAGAGGAUGGAACUAGUUGAAAUUGGGCCGACAUUCUGCUAAUUUGCUCAUCGGUGAAUCAAAGAUGCUUUGUAGGAGUGUAAGGUGCUUUUUAGGAGUGUAAGGUCUAAUUAAUUUUGUGCACAUGCACACUUCACAGAGAAGGUAGUCCCUAACGGGAAUAUGCAAAUUCAUGCUACACCGCGCCGAUAGGGUCUCGCUAGCUCUUGCUGGGCUUUGCGGACCUCCUUGCUCGUCGAUUAUGCUUAAUUUGCUUCCACAGUAAAUGACACAAAUGAACUUUCUUGGAAUCCCAUAAAGUAUCAGACUCCAGGAUGGGAAAAUGCUUAACAAGAAAGAAACAGAUGAAGACAGAUAAGGGGACCAUGAGACCCUAUGUUGUGUUUUAAAUAGUUAAUCUGUUGUGAAUUUCUAUUCUGACUUGUAAUGUUAAAAAAAGGGGAGUUAAUCUGAACUAGCUAGACUACUCACUAGACCAAAUGAUAGGCUACAGAUUUGAGUCGCUACAAUUCAAAUUCCCAAUGUACGUUUCUAUUAAAUGACAUUUUGUUCUUACUACGUGUAUUGCAUGUUUGAUGAGAUUAUAUGUGCUUAUAAAUGUUUGCAACACAUUAAUAAAUGGCUAGAAGUUUUCCACUUUCUUUUAAGGUAUAUUUUAAGUUAUUUUAAGUUAUAAAUAUUGGUAGGACUAACUCAUUAAUAAAUGGUCAGUAGGUUUCCACUAUCUUUAAAGGUAUAUCUUCCAGCAUUUAUAUAUGUUUGUAAGUCAUUUGUUAAUGGUCAGUGGAUUGCCACUUUAAGGUAUCAUUUUAGCAUUUAUAGAUGUUGAUAACUCAGUUAUAAAUGUUAAUAGGUCUGUCACUAAAAUAAGGUAUACCUUUAGCAGUUACACAUGUGGGUAAAUCAUUUAUAUAUGAUUUGAGAGUUCACUCAGAGCAUAGACAUAGUUAUAGUAUUGAGUACCCAUC
ensembl:lncRNA